rnacentral:rRNA from 1 species
GAUGAACGCUAGCGGCGUGCCUAACACAUGCAAGUGGAGCGACGAACCAGACUUCGGUCUGGGGCCAAGCCGCGAACGGGUGAGUAACACGUGGGUAACCUGCCCCGAUGAUCGGGACAACCCGGGGAAACCCGGGCUAAUACCGAAUGUGGUCGCGGUCCGUGAGGACUGUGACGAAAGGAAGCUUCGGCCUCCGCAUCGGGAUGGGCCCGCGGCCCAUUAGCUUGGUGGUGGGGUAAUGGCCUACCAAGGCAUCGAUGGGUAGCUGGUCUGAGAGGACGAUCAGCCACACUGGGACUGGGACACGGCCCAGACUCCUACGGGAGGCAGCAGUGGGGAAUCUUGCGCAAUGCGCGAAAGCGUGACGCAGCAACGCCGCGUGGGGGAAGAAGGCUUUCGGGUCGUAAACCCCUUUCAGUUGGGACGAAGCUUCGCCGGUGAAUAGCCGGCCGGAGUGACGGUACCUUCACAAGAAGCCCCGGCUAACUACGUGCCAGCCGCCGCAGUAAAAC